GCUAGGUUCUAUUCUGAAAUAGAAUCUUGCUAAGUAUCCCAGGCUGGCCUUGAACUUCCAACUCUCCUGCCUCCACAUAUUAUAGAAUAUCCUUCCUGAAUGGCACAUAUUAGAGAAAUGCUACACCAUGCCCAGACUUUUCAUUUCUUGGUAUUGUCAAGGACAUUGGUGACCCUGACAAAGUCAGAACUAUAGCAGGACCGGAGGCCAGACACAGAACCUGGAGAAUGAAAGAAGCUACAGAAAGAAGCUGGCUGGUGGCACAGUCUUGGGGAAGCUUGGUGAGAUGGCACAAAAAAAUUUGGAAGGCUAAUCAAGAAGCAUCCAGGAGGACUUGCUGCGUCUUUACAGUGGUGUUUUGCCAUGGAUGUCGGCACCCACAUGGCAGCUAGCAUCUGACUAUAGCUCCAGUUCCAAGGCAUCUGGCACCCUUACACAGACAUACUUGUAGGAAAAACACCAAUGCAUACAAUAAAUAAAUAAAGUUACAUAAAAAAAAAAACACCUUGCACAUAGAAUUCUCAGGUGCUUCACAAAAUGUCCCUGGAUCCUGGCUUCUGGAAUUUAAACCUUAGCCUGCCUUUUAGCCAGGGCAAGCGCCAUAACCUUUCAUUGUUCCUCAGCACAAGGCACUGUAGCAAAACUACCCUGUGGGCUGUUUGAGGAUUAAACGAAACAUUACUUGGGAGCUGCACAAACACGCCAGAGUGUCCUAUAAAUACCUGCGAUUGCUGCUGCUGUCCCACGUAAUCCUGCCCACCAGGGAAGAUUGUAUCUCCAUUCUACAGGAAGCUAAGGCUUGGCAUGGUUGAUAACCGUCCUAGUAGCGUGGCUGGUGUGGGGUGUCGGCCGCAGCAUCUCCAGGAACGCUUCCUCCACCCUCCCCACCCACCCACUGUUCUGCAACAUGAAGGAGCAUAGUAGAAAUGAAGAAAAUGUCUUCGGUUUUAGAAUUGACCCAGUUGGAAUGAUAAAUUGCAUAUUCAGCCUACUUAGAGGAGGAGGAAAUGUAGACAAAAAUACCACAGAAAGGACAAGUAGGAACUGGUCCACUUGGACCAGGUGUGGCACUGAUGAGCUUGAGAAGAGUGGAAAAGAGAAUGAGAUGUGUCUAACCUUUGGAUGUUGGAACAUCACGUUGUCUACGGAACUCAUGCUCAGAAACCACAUAACCAAGUCUCAUGUCCUCCCCGUCAUACUUUAAGUUCAUGAUUUUGUGUUCAGCUGCAACCGCAGCUGCCUUGCUGGGCACAGCUCACUGGGUCACGCUGAAGUCUGAACAAACGGUGAUAGAGGUAAGAAACGUGCCCGAGUCUUCACGGAAGCCCAGCUGGAGCCAAUGGAGAGGGCGACUCCGGGAGUAUCACAGCUUCCUAGCUCCAUUCAGGGUGGAA
rnacentral:lncRNA from 1 species